AUAUAGGUCAGUGGGUGCUGGGCUCAGGGUCCACCUGGAUUCCUCUGUCUAGGUCAUUCCCUGUUGUGGGACCCUGACAAAGUCACAUGACCCCAUUGGAAUGUUGGGUUCUAUCUGUUGUAGGGGUAGAACGCAUCUGAGCAGAAAGGGAAGCUUGAUGCUACUUUAAAAUCUGAGGGUCUGGACCAGAAGAAGAACAUCAUGUUUGUAGUCAAGAUGACAGAUACAGUGAGAAUAACAGCUAACUCCAAAGGUGGCUUCACGGGAAAGAAAGAAUCUUGAGCAAGACAGUAUUGUCAGAAGAUCCCAGGAAAGUUCUAAUUUUCAUCAGCAGUUAAUAAAGCUACUCAUACAGAAGUGUACACAACAGA